rnacentral:rRNA from 1 species
AACUUUCAACAACGGAUCUCUUGGCUCUGGCAUCGAUGAAGAACGCAGCGAAAUGCGAUACGUAGUGUGAAUUGCAGAAUUUAGUGAAUCAUCGAAUCUUUGAACGCACAUUGCGCCCGCCAGUAUUCUGGCGGGCAUGCCUGUUCGAGCGUCA